UAAGGAAGCUGUGGAAUUGGUAAGACGCCUGACAUUGAUCAGGAUGAACCUUCCCGUGCUUUUUAGAACAUAGAUGGCACCAGUCAGGUGACCAUCGCCUGUAAUACGUCGCAGAGAUGUUACCAUCCUGACGAUAUGGCGAGCAUCGCCGUCUACGUUUCUCUUUCUAUCCAAGAACAUGGAUCGCGGCUUUAUGGCUGAGUUCACCGAAAUGGGCCCGUAGCUCAGGUGGUUAGAGCGCACGCCUGAUAAGCGUGAGGUCGGCAGUUCGAGUCUGCCCGGGCCCACCAUUCGGCUUUUGCCUGGUGGUGAUUGACCUGGCAGUCGUCGUAAGUUUGUUCGUUUCGGCCUUUGGUUGGAGCGGACUGGCCGGGCCUUUGCUGACAGUAUUGUCAUCGGGGCCUUGACUGAACCUGAUGGGGCUGUAGCUCAGCUGGGANAGCACCUGCUUUGCAAGCAGGGGGUCAGCGGUUCGAUCCCGCUCAGCUCCACCAAGUUUUAGUGUUGAUGCUGAUUGUUGAGGUUCUUGGAAAGAAAUAAAAGUUUGCACUGCUCAAACGAGCAAGUGCCUGUUCUGUCUAAAAUUGUGAAGAGAAGAUACGUCCGGAUAAGUGAGUAACAUCACUUAUGCCUAUAGGAUUUG
rnacentral:tRNA from 1 species